AUUGCGAAGGCAGCUUUCUGGAUCAUUACUGACACUGAGGAACGAAAGCAUGGGUAGCGAAGAGGAUUAGAUACCCUCGUAGUCCAUGCCGUAAACGAUGUGUGUUAGACGUUGGAAAUUUAUUUUCAGUGUCGCAGGGAAACCGAUAAACACACCGCCUGGGGAGUACGACCGCAAGGUUAAAACUCAAAUGAAUUGACGGGGACCCGCACAAGUAGUGGAGCAUGUGGUUUAAUUCGAAGAUACGCGCAGAACCUUACCAACACUUGACAUGUUCGUCGCGACUCUAAGAGAUUAGAGUUUUCGGUUCGGCCGGACGAAACACAGGUGCUGCAUGGCUGUCGUCAGCUCGUGUCGUGAGAUGUUGGGUUAAGUCCCGCAACGAGCGCAACCCUCACUUUUAGUUGCCAUCAUUAAGUUGGGCACUCUGAAAGAACUGCCAGUGAUAAGCUGGAGGAAGGUGGGGAUGACGUCAAGUCCUCAUGGCCCUUACGUGUUGGGCUACACACGUGCUACAAUGGCAUCUACAACAGGAAGCAAAACGGCAACGUUUAGCAAAUCCCGAAAAGAUGCCUCAGUUCGGAUUGCACUCUGCAACUCGAGUGCAUGAAGCUGGAAUUACUAGUAAUCGUGGAUCAGCGUGCCACGGUGAAUGCGUUCCCGGGUCUUGUACACACCGCCCGUCACACCAUGGGAGUUGGUUCUACCUUAAGGCAAGGUUUUAAACCCUUGACCACGGUAUAGUCAGCGACUGGGGUGAAGGUGGGAUCCUCUAGAGUCGACC
rnacentral:rRNA from 1 species